UGGGGAAUAUUGGGCAAUGGGGGGAACCCUGACCCAGCAACGCCGCGUGAAGGAAGAAGGUUUUCGGAUUGUAAACUUCUGUCCUUGGUGAAGAGGAAGAGACGGUAGCCAAGGAGGAAGCCCCGGCUAACUACGUGCCAGCAGCCGCGGUAAUACGUAGGGUGCAAGCGUUGUUCGGAAUCACUGGGCGUAAAGAGAGCGUAGGCGGGAUUGUAAGUUAGGAGUUUAAUGCAUGGGCUUAACCCAUGAUCUGCUUUUAAUACUGCAGUUCUUGAGUAUGGGAGAGGGUGAUGGAAUUCCAGGUGUAGCGGUGGAAUGCGUAGAUAUCUGGAAGAACACCAGUAGCGAAGGCGGUCGCCUGGCCCAAUACUGACGCUGAGGCUCGAAAGCUAGGGGAGCAAACAGG
rnacentral:rRNA from 1 species